rnacentral:rRNA from 1 species
AUUGAACGCUGGCGGCAUGCUUUACACAUGCAAGUCGAACGGUAACAGGGUGCUUGCACCGCUGACGAGUGGCGAACGGGUGAGUAAUGCGCCGGAACGUGCCGAGUAGUGGGGGAUAACGCAGCGAAAGUUGUGCUAAUACCGCAUACGUACUGAGGUAGGAAGUGGGGGACCUUCGGGCCUCACGCUAUUCGAGCGGCCGGCGUCUGAUUAGGUAGUAGGUGAGGUAAAGGCUCACCUAGGCGACGAUCAGUAGCGGGUCUGAGAGGAGGAUCAGCCACACUGGGACUGAGACAAGGCCCAGACUCCUACGGGAGGCAGCAGUGGGGAAGUUUGGACAAUGGGCGAAAGCCUGAUCCAGCCAUGCCGCGUGUCUGAAGAAGGCCUUCGGGUUGUAAAGGACUUUUGUCAGGGAGGAAAUCCCUAGUGCUAAUAACACUGGGGGAUGACAGUACCUGAAGAAUAAGCACCGGCUAACUACGUGCCAGCAGCCGCGGUAA